GGCGCGCGUGCGGAAGUGGCGAUGGCGGCGGUGGUUGGCGUCAGGCUGUGGACGAAGAGGCGGUCUCGGUGUUGACAACUUCAGAUGAUCCACGUGGUACGAGUUCCACACGACACUGUGGUGAAGAGGAUUUUGGAAAUCUCCGUAUUUGGGGCCACCCCUCCCGCCGCGGCUGUGGAUAUUCCCUGUGGGCGAUGCUGACCUUGGUUUCAGGCAGCCCCAUUCUCAAGCUGCUGCGAACUCGGAGCCGAGGCUUCGGAAGGGCUCCCAGACGCCUGCAGUGACACACUUGUUGGAGCUCGGCAGCAGCCUUCUCCCGGGUAGGCGCCUGGGGGCUGAAUCUCUGGUCCACCCUGUGUCACCUGCACCUGGUACACCCCAGGGCGGGCCCCUGGGUGCCGGAACAGACAACAGCCAGGUGACGCUGUGGCCUAGGCCCAGUCUAGUUACCCGGAGCCCUGGGAGGGGUGGGGAGGCAGACCCUGCCCAGGGCCAGUGCCUGGAGCAUGGUUGCUGUGGAUGUGGCAGAGGCUUGCCUGAGAUGUGGGCUAGGCCCUUCCAGUGGGUCAGGUCUGGGGUGGUGCCCAGGGUUGUGCACCCUCAGGCUGCUGCCCAGUGGACCAGUGGCCUGUCAGCCCCGACUGGCGUUCACGGGGUCCCAGCAUGGGUGUGUGGGCGGCUGACCCAGGCUCUUAUGAUGCUGUGGCUGUUGUUCGUCCAUUGUCCCAUUAAUGCCAAGCUGGUAGGACCCACCUGGCUGGCUGUGUUCUGCAUGACCCGAGGGCCCACUGGGGUUCUGGAAGAGGAUGGAGACCAUCCCUGCUUGGCUGUGAUUCCGUCCUCUUGACCUGUGGUGGCCGUGACCUGAGGUGGGGCCUCUGGGAGCAGGCGCCUCCUCUUUCCUCCCCCAUGGCGGGCACCUGCCUGUCCACCUCUGAAUCUGGGUGUCAGCAUCAAGGUAGGAGUGCAGGGCCGGCUUGUUAACUGGGAUUCUGUCCAGCCCAGCCAGUGUCAGCGUGGCCCAGGGGCCACCACGAGCCCCUGGUCCCGCUUCCCUCCUGGUUCCGGGCUCCAGCUACGGGCCACGUCGAUCUUCACACGACUCUGGACUGCUGGGGUCACUGUCCCUGCUUCCCCACCGAGAGAAGUAGCCGAGACCCCGACCAGGCCUGCGCUCCCUUGGCACUCAGCAUCUCCCAGCCACGACAGCACCGGUGGCUCAGAAAUAAGGUCCCGGGACAGAUGUGCCCGGCCAGACAGCGAGCUCUCCUGCCAGACCAGAGCCUCUUCUCUCCCCAGCACCCAGCCGGAAGCAGGGCUGGGAACAGGCACCGUGCGUGUCCGUGGAGGAUGAGAGCGCGACUUUGGGACCGGCCCUACCCCACAGCCUCACGGAGGGAACGGGUCCAGGCGGGGUGCUUUCUGUGAAGCCUAUGGCUGUUAGCAGAGCGCCCUGAAACCCCACCACUAGGCCGGACGCGGUGGCUCAGGCCUGUCUGUAAUCCCAGCACUUUGGGCGACCGAGGCAGUGGAUGACCUGAGGUCAGGAGGCUGAGGCAGGAUCAUGAGGUCAGGAGUUUGAGACCAGCCUGACCAACAUGGUGAAACCCCGUCUCUACUAAAAGUACAAAAAUUAGCCGGCAUGGUGGCGGGCGCCUGUGAUCCCAGCUACUCGGGAGGCUUAUGCAGGAGAAUCGCUUGAACUCAGGGGGUGGAGGUUGCAGUGAGCCGAGAUUGCACCACUGCACUCCAGCCUGGGUGACAGAGCAAGACUCCAUCUUAAAAAACAAAAAACAAAAAAAA
ensembl:lncRNA